CACCUCUUCAAAUGGAACAAAUGCAAAAGGCGCAAGACCCCUUUUGUGUGAUGUGCGUGAUAUCUCAUCCUCUUGCCAAUCUUCAACCACUCCAAUGAUGUCCUCUUCAGGCUCACUAACCCCAUUACUAUCCACUUUACUCGUAACAAGUGAGAGUAUAUCCAUCCGGUUGUUAGCCCCCGCAAUUGUUCCUCUUAACCUUAAACAGA
rnacentral:misc_RNA from 1 species